ACGUAGGAGGCGAGCGUUGUCCGGAAUUACUGGGCGUAAAGCGCGCGUAGGCGGUCUUUUGCGUAGGCGGUGAAAGCCCCAGGCUCACCUUGGGGAGGUCCGUCUAAACGGGGAGACUUGAGGGCGGUAGGGGUUGGCGGAACGCCCGGAGUAGCGGUGAAAUGCGUUGAGAUCGGGCAGAACACCAGUGGCGAAGGCGGCCGACUGGGCCGUCCCUGACGCUGAGGCGCGAAAGCCAGGGGAGCGAACGGAAUUAGAUACUCCGGUAGUCCUGGCCCUAAACGAUGGCAACUAGGUGUGGGGGGUAUCGACCCCUUCCGUGCCGUAGCACACGCGAUAAGUUGCCCGCCUGGGGAGUACGGCCGCAAGGCUA
rnacentral:rRNA from 1 species